AGUAACGCGAGGGAGCGGGAAAAGCUCAAAUUUUGGAUUCUGGCGUUUUCGGCCGUUCGAAGUGGUAUUCUGGGGAGGGUUCUUCGGGGCUGGCCGGGUCCAGUUUUCUUGGAGGGAAGGUUAAUAAAGGUGGCCAUUCCGUUUUCUGCCAGGGAUUUCCCAGGGUAAGGGAAGGGGUUUUGGCGGGGUGGAGUGGUUUGGGAAGCCGGUUCAAAUGGGGUGGUAAAUUCCUUUUAAAGUUAAAUCCGGGGGGGAGCCGGAAAGGGACCAGGUCCCUGGGGGGAAGGAGGAAAGGACUUUUGAAAGGGGAUUUAACCGGUAGGGGAAAUUGUGGGAGGGGAACGGUUGGAGUCCGGUGGGUUGGCCGGAGGUUCACCCUGGUUUCCCUGGUGGGGGGUUUUUUUGGUUCGGCGGGUUCGCCUUGAAUUUGGAUGUUGGUGGAGGGCGGGAGGGGAAGGGGCCCUUUUUGGGAGGGGGUUAAACCUUUCGGUAGGGGAGGGGUGGUUGGGAUUGGAGGAAUUGGCCUUGCCCCUUUGGGGGUUUCGGGGCUUUUGCCCACGCAGCAUGCCUAGGAUGCUGGCAUAAUGUCUUCAAGCGACCCGUCUUGAAACACGGACCAAGGAGUCUAACAUGCCUGCGAGUGUUUGGGUGGAAAACCCGAGCGCGUAAUGAAAGUGAAAGUUGGGACCCCUGUCGUGGGGGGCACCGACGCCCGGACCUGAGCCUUUGGCGACGGAUCUGCGGUAGAGCAUGUAUGUUGGGACCCGAAAGAUGGUGAACUAUGCCUGAAUAGGGCGAAGCCAGAGGAAACUCUGGUGGAGGCUCGUAGCGAUUCUGACGUGCAAAUCGAUCGUCGAAUUUGGGUAUAGC
rnacentral:rRNA from 1 species